ACAGUCCAAUAGGGUGAUGCUUUUAAUCGAACAGACCAAUCAGGGAGCUUAGUGGCAGGAAUUUAAAGGUCUGUGCAAAUGCAUUAGCUAGAAUUUUUGGAAGAAGGACCGGGUGCUCAAAAAAAUAUUUCUUCAUCAAACUUCGAGCAUUUAUCAAUUUGCCCAAAAAUGUCUGCUGGCAACGAGAACGGUGUCCGUCUGGACAAGUUCAAGAAUAAGGGAAAAGAUGCAACUGAACUUAGACGCAGGAGAGUAGAAGUGAACGUCGAACUUCGCAAGGCAAAGAAGGACGAUCAGAUCUUCAAAAGAAGAAAUGUCACUACUUUGGUCGACGAGGCAACGUCCCCACUUCAAGAGAAAAGUCAAAACUGUCAAGUGACUUUGUUAUGCCUGUCUGUUUAUACAAUUCCAGUGGCGCACAAUUGGCCCAGCGUCAUCCGGGCCACUCUACAGUGGACCGUGGAGGAGAUUCUUGCUGGUGUGAACAGUAACAACCUUGAUGCCCAGCUCAACGCUACGCAGGCUGCAAGGAAGUUGCUAUCCCGUGAGAGACAUCCUCCCAUUGACCACAUCAUCAGUGCUGGGCUGAUUCCUAAGUUAGUUGCAUUCUUGGGUUUGGAGUCACCCCCUAUCCAGUUUGAGGCUGCCUGGGCUCUAACCAACAUUGCAUCUGGAACAUCUGACCAGACCUGUGCUGUUGUGGAGGGCGGGGCCAUUCCAGCCUUCAUCAGGCUUGUCUUGUCUCCCCACCCCCACAUCAGCGAGCAGGCUGUCUGGGCUUUGGGUAACAUUGCAGGUGAUGGGUCGGUCUACAGAGACCAGGUCAUCAAGCAUGGAGCUGUGGCCCCCCUGCUUAGUCUGCUCGCUGUCCCUGAGCUCUCUUUGUUCUCUUCUGGCUACCUGAGGAACAUCACCUGGACGUUGUCAAACUUGUGCCGCAACAAGAACCCGUCUCCCCCUCUGGCAGCCGUGCAGCAGAUCAUGCCCACUCUGGUGCGUCUGCUGCACUAUGAUGAUAAGGAGGUGCUGGCAGACACCUGCUGGGCAUUGUCCUAUCUUACGGACGGGCCCAAUGAUCGCAUUGAGGUGGUGGUGCAGACUGGCCUGAUCUCCCGCCUGGUGCAGCUGCUUGGUUCUGGGGAGAUUGCUGUUGUGACUCCUUCUCUGCGUGCCAUUGGCAAUAUGGUGACUGGCACGGAUGAGCAGACUCAGGCCGUGCUGAACGCUGGGGCCCUCUCCAUGUUCCCUGGCCUGCUUCGCCACCACAAGAGUAACAUCCAGAAGGAGGCCUCCUGGACCCUGUCCAACAUCACUGCAGGGAGAGACUCUCAGAUCCAGGAUAUCAUCAAUGCUGGCCUGGUCCCUCUCAUGGUAGAUGUCCUACGCAAGGUAUGUAGGUUUGAUUUCUGUAGCAAAAUAUUGUAUAAUUAGGAAUGGUGGGAUUUUUAUAAUGCUUAUUCCUCAUCUAUAACUAUAUCUAUUGUUUUUAUUUUUGUUGUUGUUGUGUGAUUUGGAUUAAUCCCCUCUACCACACGGAACCCCACUAAUCUACUGACGCAAGAGGUAGCUAACAACAGACCUCCAUCCUAUGCUAGCCUGCUACCGAUGCCCUGGCUAGCUGUCUAAAUCACCAACCAACAUCUCCACUCACCGGACCCUUUUGAUCACUCGACUAAGCAUGCCUCUCCUCAAUGUCAAUAUGUCUUGUCCAUUUCUGUUCUGGGUGACUACAAGACUCAGAAAGAGGCAGUUUGGGCAAUAACCAACUUUACCAGUGGGGGCACAGUUGAACAGGUUGUGUACCUUGUUCAAGCCAAUGUGCUGGAGCCUUUGUUGAAUCUACUCUCAACAAAGGACAGCAAAACCAUCCUUGUCAUCUUGGAUGCCAUCACCAACAUUUUCCUGGCUGGAGAUAAGAUUGGUGAAGCAGAAAGGCUGUGCAUGAUGAUCGAGGAAUGUGGUGGACUAGACAAGAUUGAAGCUCUGCAGUCCCAUGAGAAUGAGCUUGUCUACAAGGCCUCCCUCAACCUGAUUGAGAAAUAUUUCUCUGGCGAGGAAGAGGAAGACCAAUGUGUUGCUCCAGAAUUGACAACUGAUGGAUAUGCAUUCCAGAUCAGUGAGAACCAAAGCACUUUCAACUUCUAAAUACCACUUUUCCUUUCAUCUCUACUGUAUACUGCCACUGUUUGUUCUCUAAUGGACUUCCAUUGUCUGCAAUGUACAUAUGUUUUAUAAAUGUCUGUAAAUAAAAUUAUUUGUAAUUUCAA